AUUGGACGCUGGCGGCAUGCCUUACACAUGCAAGUCGAACGGCAGCAUGGAGAGCUUGCUCUCUGAUGGCGAGUGGCGAACGGGUGAGUAAUGCGUCGGAACGUACCGUGUAAUGGGGGAUAACGUAGCGAAAGUUACGCUAAUACCGCAUACGACCUGAGGGUGAAAGCAGGGGAUCGCAAGACCUUGCGUUAUACGAGCGGCUGAUGUCAGAUUAGCUAGUUGGUGAGGUAAAGGCUCACCAAGGCGACGAUCUGUAGCGGGUCUGAGAGGAUGAUCCGCCCCACUGGGCCUGGGACACGGCCCAGACUCCUACGGGAGGCAGCAGUGGGGAAUUUUGGACAAUGGGGGCAACCCUGAUCCAGCCAUGCCGCGUGAGUGAAGAAGGCCUUCGGGUUGUAAAGCUCUUUCGGCCGGGAAGAAAUCGCACAGGCUAAUACUCUGUGUGGAUGACGGUACCGGCAUAAGAAGCACCGGCUAACUACGUGCCAGCAGCCGCCGUAA
rnacentral:rRNA from 1 species